rnacentral:snRNA from 1 species
CACUGUUAAAAAUUAUGCACAAAGCGAACUAUUCUUUCGCCUUUUACUAAAGAAUACCGUGUGUUUGCUGCACUUCAAGCAGCAUACGCCCAUUUUUAAAUGGAGGGUUCAUUUCCUUUU